UACGGGGGGGGCAAGCGUUGUUCGGAAUUACUGGGCGUAAAGGGCUCGUAGGCGGCCAACUAAGUCAGACGUGAAAUCCCAGGCUCAACCUGGGAACUGCGUCUGAUACUGGAUGGCUUGAAUCGGGAGAGGGAUGCGAAUUCCAGGUGUAGCGGUGAAAUGCGUAGAUAUCUGGAGGAAUACCGGUGGCGAAGGCGGCAUCCUGGACCGACAUUGACGCUGAUGAGCGAAAAGCUAGGGGAGCAAACGGG
rnacentral:rRNA from 1 species